CGUGCUGUAGGGGGGGGGGAAUACUCAUUAAAGGCAAGGAGAGCAAGUGCCACCAUCACACAUUCCAGAAUGCGAGUCAUGCUGUCUUCACGCAACAUACGACGUCACAGCAAAUACGAGUCGUCAGCUAGGAAGUCGCGCAUGGGAUGGACCCUCAACUUCUCAACAUGACAGAUGCAAAGCACUUGAGUAUGAAAAACGUAUAAAUCCGACUUCACAGGAGAGGUUAGCUGAGAUGAAUCAGUUCAGCCUCGCGCAAAGGAGACUAAGGGGGGACAUGAUCCAGGUCAGCGACUGGCAGCACCCCGACCCCCGGUGGACUCGGAAGCCCCGUUCUUCCUGUGUACCCCGUACUCACUGUCGAAGACGAUGACACGGCCGUCGCCCCCGCAGGGCUGGGUGUGGUCCCCGAAGCACUCG